UGGGGAAUUUUGCACAAUGGGCCAAAAGCCUGAUGCAGCGAUGCCGCGUGGAUGAAGAAGGCCUUCGGGUUGUAAAGUCCUUUCGACAGGAAAGAAGAAAAUGACGGUACCUGGAGAAGAAGCCACGGCUAAUCACGUGCCAGCAGCCGCGGUAAGACGUGAGUGGCAAGCGUUAUCCGGAAUUACUGGGCGUAAAGAGCGCGUAGGCGACUCCGCAAGUCAGAGGUGAAAAGUCAGGGCUUAACCUUGGCCUUGCCUUUGAAACUGCAGAGAUAGAGUACAGGAUAGGAGGGUGGAACUACAAGUGUAGCGGUGGAAUGCGUAGAUAUUUGUAGGAAUGCCGAUGACGAAGGUAACUCUCUGGACUGAUACUGACGCUGAGGUGCGAGAGCUAGGGGAGCAAACAGG
rnacentral:rRNA from 1 species